rnacentral:rRNA from 1 species
AAAAGUUAAUAAGGGCGUACAGUGAAUGCCUUGGCACUAUUUGGCGAAGAAGGACGCGACUACCUGCGAAAAGCUACGGGGAAUUGGAAGUAAAUAUUGAUCCGUAGAUAUCCGAAUGGGGGAACCCAUCAUCAAUCAAAUGAUGAUAUCUUAAAAUGAAUACAUAGUUUUAAAGAAGUUAGACCUAGGGAAUUGAAACAUCUAAGUACCUAGAGGAGAAGAAAGAUUUAAUCGAUUCCGUAAGUAGCGGCGAGCGAAAGCGGAGGAGCCCAAACCAACGCGAGUUGGGGUUUAGGACUACGAAAGAGAGGAUUUAUUCGAGAAGAAUGGCUUGGGAAAGCCAACCAAAGAGAGUGAGAGUCUCGUAUUUAUAGGAGUGAAUCAAUCUAGUAGCACCAGAGUACGGCGAGGCACGUGGAACCUUGUCUGAAGACGCGCAGACCACUGCGUAAGGCUAAAUACACAAUAGUGACCGAUAGUGAACCAGUACCGUGAGGGAAAGGUGAAAAGAACCCCGGGAGGGGAGUGAAAAGAAUCUGAAACUGUAUGCUUACAAAAAGUCAGAGGGCGUUAAGGCCUGAUGACGUGCCUAUUGAAGAAUGAGCCGGCGAGUUAUGUUAUCGUGCGAGGUUAAGUCGAAGAGACGGAGCCGAAGCGAAAGCGAGUCUAAAGAGGGCUACAGUACGAUGACAUAGACCCGAAACCCGACGAUCUAGCCAUGAGCAGGAUGAAGGUGGGGUACAACCCACUGGAGGUCCGAACCGACGUUCGUUGAAACGCCCGCGGAUGACUUGUGGCUCGCGGUGAAAUUCCAAUCGAGUUGGGUUAUAGCUGGUUCUCCCCGAAAUAGCUUUAGGGCUAGCCUCAGGGUUAGCUACUUGCUGGUAGAGCACUGAAUGAUAGAUGGCCGCGUCUAGCGGUACUGAUAUCAAUCAAACUCCGAAUAGUGAGAUAGUAUACCUGGGAGUCAGUCUGUGGGAGAUAAGUUCCAUGGACAAGAGGAAAAGAGUCCAGACCGCCAAAUAAGGUCCCAAAAUCAAUACUAAGUGUAAAAGGAUGUAGAGAUGCAUAGACAACUAGGAUGUUGGCUCAGAAGCAGCCAUCAUUUAAAGAGUGCGUAACAGCUCACUAGUCGAGUGCCUCCGCGCCGAAAAUUUACCGGGGCUAAGUAUAGUACCGAAGUUGCGGAUUUGAGAAAAUGGUAGGGGAGCGUUCCAUCAUCGGCGAAGCGAUACCGAAAGGAGUCGUGGAGAGGAUGGAAGUGAGAAUGCCGGUGUAAGUAACGAUAUUGGGUGAGAAUCCCAAUCACCAUUAGACUAAGGUUUCCUGGGGAAGGUUCGUCCGCCCAGGGUAAGUCGGGACCUAAGGCGAGGCUGAGAAGCGUAGUCGAUGGACGACAGGUUGAUAUUCCUGUACCCGUAUAUAAGUGAAGUAAUGACAGAGAAGGCUAGAUCGGCUACCUACUGGAUGGUAGUACAAGCGAGAUAGCAGGUGCAAAGGCAAAUCCGUGCACGAAAUGCAAGGCGUGAAGUGGAGCGAACGAGCAAUCAAGUAGCGAAGCGAUUGAUGCCAGCUUUCAAGAAAAGUUGCUAACAUAAUUAUAUGCGGCCCGUACCGAGAACGGACACACGUGGUCAAGGAGAGUAUCCUAAGGUGAGCGAGUGAACUGUUGUUAAGGAACUCUGCAAAAUUACUUCGUAAGUUCGCAAGAAGAAGUGCUACAGCGAUGUAGCCGCAGUGAAGAGGCCCAAGUAACUGUUUAACAAAAACACAGCUUUAUGCUAAGUCGUAAGACGAUGUAUAUGAGGUGAUGCCUGCCCAGUGCUGGAAGGUUAAAAGGAGAUGUGGUCCGCAAGGAGAAGCAUUGAUCUGAAGCCCCAGUGAACGGCGGCCGUAACUAUAACGGUCCUAAGGUAGCGAAAUUCCUUGUCGGGUAAGUUCCGACGCGCAUGAAUGGUAUAAUAAUUUGGGCGCUGUCUCGACAGCAGACUCGGUGAAAUCUUAAUACCUGUGAACAUGCAGGUUACCCGCGACUAGACGGAAAGACCCCAUGGAGCUUUACUAUAGCUUAAUAUUGAAUAGUUGAAAGUCCUGUACAGGAUAGGUAGGAGACAAAGAAGUUUGUGCGUCAGCAUGAAUGGAGUCAACGGUGGGAUACUACUCUUGAUUUUCGAUUGUUCUAACUUAGGAUCAAAACGGGUCCGAGGACAGUGUUAGGUGGGUAGUUUGACUGGGGCGGUCGCCUCCUAAAGAGUAACGGAGGCGCCCCAAGGUACCCUCAGUAUGGUUGGAAAUCAUACAACGAGUGCAAAGGCAUAAGGGUGCUUGACUGCGAGACCUACAAGUCGAGCAGGGACGAAAGUCGGGCUUAGUGAUCCGGCGGUUCCGAGUGGAAGGGCCGUCGCUCAACGGAUAAAAGCUACCCUGGGGAUAACAGGCUGAUCGCGUCCAAGAGUUCACAUCGACGACGCGGUUUGGCACCUCGAUGUCGGCUCAUCGCAUCCUGGAGGGGAAGUACCUUCCAAGGGUAUGGCUGUUCGCCAUUUAAAGCGGUACGCGAGCUGGGUUCAAAACGUCGUGAGACAGUUUGGUCCCUAUCUGUCGUGGGCGUAGGAAGUUUGAAAGGAGCUGUCCCUAGUACGAGAGGACCGGGAUGGACAUAGCAAUGGUACACCAGUUGUCACGCCAGUGGCACAGCUGGGUAGCUACCUAUGGAUCGGAUAAACGCUGAAAGCAUCUAAGCGCGAAGCCGUCCUUAAGAUAAGACUUCCCAUUCGCAAGAAGUAAGAUCCCUUCAAAGUUAGGAGGUUGAUAGGUCAUAGAUGUACGCAUAGUGAUAUGUUUAGUCAAGUGAUACUAAUAGAUCGAGGACUUAAGAUA